AGAGUUUGAUCCUGGCUCAGGACGAACGCUGGCGGCGUGCUUUAUACAUGCAAGUCAAGGAGAACGCUUUCUUCGGAAAGCAAGUAAACUGGCGAACGGGUUAGUAACGCGUAGGUAACCUGCCCUAGUGACUGGGAUAACUCUGUGAAAACGGGGCUAAUACCGGAUAAUAUCUACUCUCUCUGGAGUUUAGAUCAAAGUAGGCUUCGGCUUACACAUUAGGAUGGGCCUGCGUCUGAUUAGCUUGUUGGUAAGGUAAUGGCUUACCAAGGCUACGAUCAGUAGGUGGUUCGAGAGGAUGAUCACCAACACUGGGACUGAGAUACGGCCCAGACUUCUACGGGAGGCAGCAGUAAGGAAUUUUGCGCAAUGGCCGAAAGGUUGACGCAGCAACGCCGCGUGAUUGAAGAAGGUUUUAGGACUGUAAAGAUCUGUCAUAAGGGAAGAAUUGUAUUUAUUCUAACAAAAUAUUUAUUUGACGGUACCUUAUAAGAAAGCUCCGGCUAACUUCGUGCCAGCAGCCGCGGUAAUACGAGGGGAGCAAGCGUUGUCCGGAUUUAUUGGGCGUAAAGAGUUCGUAGGCUGAUUUAUAAGUCGAAAUUGAAAUCCAAUGGCUUAACCAUUGUCACGGUUUCGAUACUGUAAAUCUUGAAUUAUGCAGAGGUAAGUGGAAUUCCUGGUGUAGCGGUGAAAUGCGUAGAUAUCAGGAGGAACACCAAAGGCGAAGGCAACUUACUGGGCAUUAAUUGACGCUGAGGAACGAAAGCGUGGGUAGCAAACAGGAUUAGAGACCCUGGUAGUCCACGCCGUAAACGAUGAGCACUUGGUGGUG
rnacentral:rRNA from 1 species